UGCAGUGGGGCUGUGAUGACUCACUCAGAUGUAGGAGUCUACAGCUGGUCUGAUGAAUGCUGCCUGGAGUCUCUUGAAGCACUCAUCAGGGAUGUCCCCAGUGCCAGCAAACAGAGCUGACUGAAGACAAGCCAUUCAACUAAGAAGUUUCUGACACAGUAAGAAUGCUCAUGCUUACAUUCUGUUUAAGAAAAAAAAAGGAAAAAGAAGAUAUGAGAGAUGAGAAGGGAUAAGAGAGAAGGAUGAAGGAAGAAAGAAGUAAGAAAGAAAAGUAAGAAAGAAGAGGCCUCCAAUUCCAGCUAUGUACUUAUUAAACAAUAUCAAAUGAAAACUGAGAAGGGAAAGACAAGGAGAAUGAAUACAUGGCAAAAAUUCAACUACCAGGUGAAGUGGCUUAGACUGUGACCCACCAGCCUUUUUGUGGCAGAGAAGCUCCAGGGCAAAUGCCUUCCCUCAACACCUCUCUCUGUCCAGCUGCACAGCCCUCUCCCCUCCAAUAACUUUAACAAGUUUUUAAACACCUCAUUCAGGCAGAGACACCAACUUGUCAGUGAUUUAUUUAGCUGGGGUUCUGAAAUCUACCCUGAGUGCUUGCAGUCAUUUUUGUGGUCCACCCACACCUGUUCUGGAUAUUUUCUUCACUUUACCUUCUCAGUAUUUUCUCUUGAUCCAUUUGCUUCUCUGCCCCUUUCAUGAGUACAAGAUUUCAUGUGAACAGCCAACAACCACUACCCAGGUGCUUCUUGCUGGUACUUUGUGAGAUGCUGGAGUUGAGACCCUUGAUAUAUUCCAGAAAGGAGCUGAAUUACUUAAAAGAGAUUUUAGAUAAAUGAAUACAGACAUCCUAACUGGUGAAUGGGUAUAUUUUGAGAGCAUGUUUUCUGUUGCUGGGGAUGAAGGUGGUGAGGAUGAAGAUGAGCCUGCCUGACAGCUGCAUCACUGUCUCUCCACGUCUGUGGAGAGGGAACAUCUUGCAACAAUUGCACGGCUUUGCAGUGUGCUCCACAGGAAAGCAAGUGCAGCAGAGAUGUAUUUCUAUCUGUCAUACAAUUUGCCCGGAAAUCCUUUGCUGUGAGUCCUGGUGUGCAGCAUUCAGCCUUUGCAUGCCUGUGCAGUGGCAAAAGGUUUGAUGUAGCUGUAAAAGCACUGGGAAACAUACAGGAAGAAAAGAUAACUGUGUGCUGCAAUACAGAAGACCAGAAAACAGUGCUGAAGGUUGCUAGAGAUUUGCAGACUAUUGUAGUGCACUGAAUUUCCCCACCCCCCUGCGCACAUGAUGACUCUCUGGGAAGUUCAAAUUAGUAUGCAUUUUAUCAGCCCCUAUUCUUUAAUAAUGUGUCUUUUGAGAGGGACAGCUGGAUCCAAGGCAAUCCCAUCAAUCCACACUGACAGCUGUGGCUGUGAUAUUUACUCCUCUCACUCUUGCCUGCACUUGCAGACCUCAUGCCUGUGGAAUUGCACACCUAGUUUUAGGCUUCCAAAUUUGAAAUGUUUGACAGCAGGAGAUUGGUGAGAUUUGCUAUCAUUAGAAGGAUCUAGGAACAGUCACAGGUGACAGCUCUUGGACAUAUCUUCACUUCUGCCUCACUGAAGGGAGGCAAUAAACUGACACCCCUUCAGUUGUAAGUCUGAUCCUUACACUGGCUGCCAAUUUGCUUAUAAAUGUUGAUAGUUUCAAGAGUUAAUAGUUACAUUAGCCCUUGGUGGAAAAUAUUGGCAGCGAUCUAUAAUAUUCCCAUGAUUAAGUCAGAAAAAGCCCACCUACUAUUAUCUCCAUUUCAUAAAUGCAUGAAUUUAGAGACCAUGCUGUCAUAUCAGUGAUAAUGUCAAGUAUGCAAACUGACCUUUCUUCCACAUCCAUUGCUAUGCUUCCUACUUCAGUGUUCGAUUUGUUGCAUUUUGUUGGCAAAGUAGAAAUCCUAAAUUAUUUUGAUCAUAAUCUCCACUCUUAACUAGUUUUUAAUCACAGAAUACCUUGUUCCUGUUAUGAAAGAAGGAUAUCACAGCACAAACUUUGGAAGCCAGUAAAUAAAGUUACAUUUUUUUUUCCUUAGAAACCUUCCAUGGGUAUGUUUUGUUCAAAAAGUAAUUAAAAAGGAUUUUAUAUGUUAAUUUGUUUAUGAAAUCAUGUUUUGGAUCAUGCAACAAUCUCAAAAGAAACAAUUUGUUACUGCUGCCUGUUUGGCAUGGAUCAGGCCACAUCUGGCAGACUGUGUCCAGCUCUGGGCUCCCAGUACAGGAGGGUGUUGUGAUGCACUAGAUUGUUAUUUGGAUGCUGCACUGGGUGUUGUGUUAUACAAAUGUUUCCCCCCUUUCCUCAGAUGGUGUAUCCCUCAGAUAAGGUGGUCUGUCGCCUGUAGCUCCUCCUUUUGUCCCUCCUCACU